AAGCAACCUGCGGUGGACAGAGAGGAGCUUCUGACAGCGUCUGCCGUCAUGACCAGCAGCUGUCUGGAGACGGGCAAAGGGACACAUCUCCGCUUCGCUUGUGUGCUCUUUUUGUCUGGCAUUAAUUAGCAUGACUAAUAAGGGCCGGAUAAACAGAGGCGGCCGGAGGCUGUGGCAUUGCUGGAAUUCAAAUAAAAGUUCCCAAGAUGCUGUGUGAGAUUGGACCUGCCCACGCUUACCUUUCCAGCGUACGGUGCCACACGGUCAGCGAUGGCCGCCUGCCUGAUGCCUCCACGCCAGGAUUUACAGUGCGACGCCUUCUAAUCGCGACCCAGACGCUUGUGGAGGAUCAGAGUCCCAUCCGAGGGCCCUUGGGCAUUUUCGCCGUGAUGAUCGAUCUCUGGACACUUAGCCUGUCAGCCGGGCGUCGGCGUGAUGCAUCACGAAGCCGUUAGCAGCGCCGUGCUGGAGUGGAUUAUGCUGAAGGAAGCUCCAGAUCUCUCCAGUCAGCAGAAAGAGGGUGAUGGCGACACCUUCCAUGUGCCAAGAGCCAGCGUCUCUCAUACAGGGUGAAAUCGCUAUCGACACGCCGCCAAGGCCGAGUCCCGAGAUUUGCAUCGCAAGAACGUUUGUGCAAAAAACGCCAGUCCCAUCCAAGUCCACUUUAAACCCAGGACUACAUUUUUACACUUUUAAUAAGUAAAUAUAUAUAUUACUAGUUCUACAUUCUUGGUAAAGUAUGUCAGGCUACUGCUGACUCUUCGAAGGUAUGAAAUUCUCACAUGGUGGAGGAUUUGAGAGAGAA